CAGUGCCUGCCGGGGUACCGCGUCUUGGGGCGCGGUUACCCCGCAACCGGCCAUCCUUGUCUACCGUUCCUUUGUUGCCUCGGCGGGCCCGCCUCCAGUGGCCACCGGGGGGAGCGCGUACCCACGCGUCCCUGGUUCGUGCCCGCCGCAGGAUAUUUUUUCGAACCCUUGUGGAAGUGUAGCGAUGUCUUAAGUCCUAGUGAAAUACAGUUUUA
rnacentral:misc_RNA from 1 species